rnacentral:tRNA from 1 species
CUCUGGAUGGUGUAAACAGUUAACAUGUUUGGUCUCUAACCAAAAAGUUGGAGGUUCGAGUCUCCCUAGAGG